GAUGAACGCUGGCGGCGUGCUUAACACAUGCAAGUCGAACGGAAAGGCCCAAGCUUGCUUGGGUACUCGAGUGGCGAACGGGUGAGUAACACGUGGGUGAUCUGCCCUGCACUUCGGGAUAAGCCUGGGAAACUGGGUCUAAUACUGGAUAGGACCACUUCUUGGAUGGUGUGGUGGAAAGGUUUUUCGGUGUGGGAUGAGCUCGCGGCCUAUCAGCUUGUUGGUGGGGUAAUGGCCUACCAAGGCGUCGACGGGUCGCCGGCCUGAGAGGGUGUACGGCCACAUUGGGACUGAGAUACGGCCCAGAGUCCUACGGGAGGCAGCAGUGGGGAAUAUUGCACAAUGGGCGCAAGCCUGAUGCAGCGACGCCGCGUGGGGGAUGACGGCCUUCGGGUUGUAAACUCCUUUCGCUAGGGACGAAGCGUUUUUGUGACGGUACCUGGAGAAGAAGCACCGGCUAACUACGUG
rnacentral:rRNA from 1 species